CAGGACAGUAGCCACUCAGUGCUCUUUGCUACCCUUGCUCACGGCAGCUGACAUACAGAGUAGCCACAUUUCUGAUUGGAAAGGCUGGAAGACUCUGAAACCUGGACUGGAUUCCAACAGACAGUCACUUCCUGGGUCUGAGAGCAUCUGUGAUGGUCAGGGCGGCUCUCCCACCAAAGCAGACAAGCUAGACAUAGUAGGCUUCUUGCAGAGACUGAAGGAGACUUUGCAUCAUUCUGUGAACACAGACCCAUCAGAAUAAGAGGUGUCAGGAACAUUGUGUGAUGCACACCUAUGUUUUGUCAAUAUUCCAUUCUUUCAAAGCCUUAUUGUAUGAGAUGUGCAGUUUUAGUGUUUACUUAGUAUUUCUGUCAUUUUCGCUUUUACUGUUUGUGUCAGUAUAAUGGAUCUGCUAACAAGACAACCAAAAGAAAGUGAAAAGGCAUAGCAUAUCAAGUUUUACAAGAAUGAUGUUUGUUUUUUAAGAUAAAGCAUAGCAAUAUAAUUGUGACUUAAUUCAUUAAAUAUAGUAUGUUUGGCAAGUUUUACACCUUAAUUAUAUUAAAACAAUAUA